UACGUAGGGGGCAAGCGUUUGUCCGGAUUUAUUGGGCGUAAAGAGCGUGUAGGCGGCCGUACAGGUCAGCUGUGAAAACUCGAGGCUCAACCUCGAGACGUCGGUUGAAACCGUACGGCUAGAGUCCGGAAGAGGAGAGUGGAAUUCCCGGUGUAGCGGUGAAAUGCGCAGAUAUCGGGAAGAACACCCGUGGCGAAGGGCGGCUCACUGGCCCCGAUACU
rnacentral:rRNA from 1 species